rnacentral:lncRNA from 1 species
UUAAAUUUGUGCAAUUCAUAUGGCCUCUCGUGACUUUGCAGAAGUCCACCUGCCACCUGGCCUGAGAGGAAUGAAGUGCUGACCCGUGUCCCAUGUGGAUGAACCCCGAAAACGUGACAAGUGGACGAAGCCAAGAGUUUCAGUCAGAUUUUCCGUCGCUGUGACUAAAAGGCCUGACAAGAAUGGUUUUUAGGAGGAAGAGUUUAUUUGGGGCUCCUGGCGUCAGAGGUCUGAGUGGAUGGCUGGCUCCAUUGCUCUGAGCCCACAGUGAGGCAGGACGUCAUGGCAGACGAAUGUAGUGAAGGGAGGCAGCUCAGGACAAGGCCACCAGGAAGGGGUGAGAAGAGGAAGGGAGAGUGCCCCUAGAGACCCACCUCCUCCAGGCACACCCCACCUGCCUGCGGCCACCACCCAGUGAGUCCACUCAAGUGGACAGAUGCACUGGACGGGUUAGGCGUCUCAACUUUAUCGUCUCACCUCUGAACUUUCUUGCAUUGCCUCCCACAUGAGCUUUUGGGGGACACCUCAUAUCUAAACCAUAACACCAGACCAAACCGCUUGCAGUCUCUGCGGAUUUGCCCUGCCGGACAUGUCUGGCCAGGCACUGUUCUAAUGCUUAGGGAGGCACCGUCCCUGCCCCAAAUCACGGGCUGAUGAGCGUAGGAGCCUGAGGCGGCCAGGAGGAUUAACCACGGCCUGGCACACCAGCCACCGCCGCCGGGGCGGAGUGGACUAAGGAGAUUUACCCUCCAGGUGAUGAGGAGGGGCCUCAAGGGUCAUGAGGCCUGUGGUGAGCGUGUGCCCGGCAUGCACCAAGGCCCUGGGCUCCACCCCAGCACCGAGGAAAAGAAAAAGGAGGAAAAAAUUCUUGUGAUAAGUCUGAAAAUCUCGUGAGCGUCCUGCUAAGUUUUGGGAGGAAACGCAGCCAGUGAACCCCGCCUCCCCAGCUCUUCCAGUUCCAGUUCCAGCUGAACUCAACAUCAGGGUAAAGGGGGCCAGAGGGAGAUGUACACCACCGUCCACUUCCGGUUGGGCUCAACCCCUGGAAUGAGCCCUCAGACCCCUGCUGGGGUGGUUCAGUUCUCUCUGCCACCUUAGUGGGCUCUGAGAUUCUCAGCUACUCAGACUUCAGAAGCAGGGGUUCUGUUGCUAGGUCACUCCGGGGCCACAGCCACGUAGCUCGUGGCAGCUUCCCGGGUCCACUCUCUGCUUGACUCCCUGACAGAACCCAGGCCUGGGGCCAAGGCCAAGGGAAAAUUUAGUCUCUCACCUGUGUCUCUAUGUGCGGAGCUGAGGAUGGAGCCCGGGCCUCACACUGCACCAGCCCUCUGGGGGGGUCUCAACGUUCAGCUGGCAGACACGACACUCUAUCCACUCCCCAGGGCUCCUGUACAACAGGGCGACACAAACUGGGUGCCUGGGAACAGCAGGAAGCAUUCCUCAUACAGUUCUUGAUGCCAGAAGUCCACCCCUGCCCCUGUCAACCUGUGGCAUUUGCCCCUUUGUGUGUCUGGGUGGCCCCUGGUCCUAAUGGACCAAGGCCCCUUUACAGCAGCAUGACCUUGUCUCGACUACUACAUUGGCCAUGACCCUAUUUCCAAUUUAGGUCACACUGUCUGAGGUAGUAGAGGUUAGGACUCCAACACAGGAAUGUCGGGGUGGGGUGCACAGUUCAGCCCGUGACCCGCACGUAUUGUGGGUUCAGUGCCAUCUGAGGAGCUGGGCGUGGUGGCUUGGGGAACCUACGUGGCACCUAUCCUGCUGGCUUCCUUCCUGCCCCUCUGCCGAGGGACAGGAGUGGUUUCUUGGCGCUGGCCAGCUUCUGCUUUGGAACUUGCAAGUGAGGUGAGGAGCUCAGUAAAUAUUUGUCAAAUGAAUAAAUGCAACUUAUGAUUGGCAGUUUGCCAACUUCUAUGGGCUUUUAUAAAAGAGAAGCUGUGGCCGUCCUCAUCUGAGCAACACCCAACAUGCAGGGAACAGAGUGGGGCCCUUUGUGUCCAGAUCACACAGAGCUGAGUGCCACAUGACAAGUGACAUGCCCAGCCCACAGUAGCCAGCAUGGGACCUGCUCUGUCCCACUCCCUCCUGGCAGAAGCCCUCAGAAAGGGCCCAAGACAAGGAGGCUGCACGAUGGGGCUCCCAGAUCUUCACCCACAUCACCCCCAGGAUGCAGAGGAAAGACCAGAGCAGGGAAGUGGCACUUGACUCCCUGCCCCAGAACGUCCCCAGCUCCAUUUGUGUCAAGGUGAGUCUGCAAGAAAUGCCAUGUGUCUGCAUCACUCUCAGUGAGCCAACACAGAUCAUCCCAGUGAUUUCAGUGUCCCAGUAAAAAUGUCAACGUGGGAAUUUUGUGAGAUAAGGAUCCACGUAGAAGGAACACUCAGACUGGGCCACCUGGGUUGGAUCGCGGGCCAGCGAGGUAGCACAGCUCCAGAGGGCCAGUGACCGCGGGAAGUGGUGACCAUCCCUGGGAGACCAAAUAACCUAACCCUGUUGUCCCUCCUUGCCCCACUUCUGGACGGGACUCUGCUGACCCAACACAACAGGUGGCCAUAGGGCCACAGGUGCCAUCGAUUGGCCUCUAGGAAUGCGGCAAGGUGGAGGAAGUGGAGGAGUCAGCAGGGGGUGGCACAUGGGCGUCUACUUGGGGGGGGGGAAUCUGGGCACAGCCCUCACCCAGGGGUCAAGACCCCAGAUUCCUGUUCCCUCCUGCUGGAGUCUCUCCACAAGGGUGAUGUGAGGAAGAUCCUGGUUGCCGAGGGCCAGUCCUGAGAGGAUGAAGGGAAAAGGGAAGGGGACCCUAGGGAAUCAGCUAGGAAUCACAGAAGACCACCAUAUGGCUGGAUUGUAUCCCCACAAAAUCUCAAGCCCCAGCCCCUAGAACCUUAGCAUGGGGUCAUGGGAUGUAAUUAAAUGAGGUUGCUAUGGUGGGCUCUGAUCCAGCCUGGUGUCCCCAUAAGAAACCAGAUGAGGACACACACCCACAGGGCAGAUCAUGUGAAGACACAGCAGGAGACAUGUGAAGACAACACAGACGAGGAGGGAGGCCUGAACAGAUCCUGCCUUGGGCCUGGGAGGAGCUGCCCUGCUCACCCUCCACCUGGACUUCUGUCCGCCAUGACUAUAAGACAAUUGGUAUCUGUGGCUUGAGCCGGGGUGUGCUGAGUCACCAAGCUCCAGGACCCCACCUCCACUUGGGGGAUACAGGCCCUGGUGCAGUCCCCUCCCAUGUGGAGGCGGAGCUGCUGUCUGGAGUGAUAGAUGGGGCAGGGGUGACAGUAUAUCCUCUGAGGCUAGGUCACCAAGGCCUCUGCAGCUUCCUGGCUCUGGAGGAACUGGCUGCACAUUGCAAGGACACUCAAGUGGCUGGCAGAGGUCAUGUCCAGGACCAGCACCAACCCUCCAGCCACGGGAGCAGAUCCCUGGCCCAGCUAACACUGGAGGGCCAUCUCCUGGCUGCCUGACACAGCCGCACAGCUCGGCCCCCGAGACUGCGAGAGAGCAAGUGUUGUCCGUGUCUUAAGCACCAGGUCUCCGGGUGUUUUGCCACAUGGCAGGGGAGAGCUGGCAGAGACCUGCCGUGCCCAAGCCACUUUAUAGCCAACGCCACACCUUGACCGCCCUGUCAAGGACGGAAGGAAGGAGCCAGGCCCAAGAUGACUCCGAGAAGGCACAUUAGCACUCCAUGGGGACGAGG